GCGGCAGCGCCACCUGGCGGGCGGCGCGGCGGCGGCCGGGGGCGCCCCCUAGUGGGCAGGGAGGGGAGCGCGCCCCCGGGCAGCGCUGCGGGAGCCGGCCGUGCCCGCCCCGCACCGGGAGGCAUCGCCCGCACGGGCCGUGCGAGGAGAAAAGCCGCUGCCAGCGGGGAGCGGCAACUGCAGGGGGCGAGGCUGAGCCCCGGAGCCGCCGCCCGCUUGCCCGUGGCAGCGCUCGGCCCGUCCGUGCUGCCCUCAGAGGCGCGGCGGCUGCAGGGCAGGGGCCGAGGGGCCGGCGAGCUGGCACUGCCGCCGCCGUGCCCCGAGAGCCUCCCCCAUGGUGUAGAAACUCCCAGCCGGGUCUGGCUUCGCCCCUCCAAGAAGUGACUUUUCCAUACGCCUCAGGUUCUGCGUAUGCCAGAGCACUUCAGGGGAAAGACCUGCCGCAUGCCUUGGCUGGCGUGCGGACGUGCUGCUGAUGCCUUGGCUGCGCAGCUAAGCAGAGGUGUACAAGGCUAAAAAAGUAAUCUGAAGCGGAUCUUUCAUUUCUGGGCUCCUCAGUGCGAGAGAGACACACAGCUCCUGGAGCGGAUCCAGAGGAGAGCUGCAAGGGACUGGAGCAUCUCUCUUCAGUGGAGGAUUGCAAAGUUUAUCAAAGGAGUGGAGCACCUCUCUUGGCAGGAAAGGCUGAGGGAACUGGUCAUGUUCAGCCUCGAGAAGAGACAACUGAGAGGGACUGCAUCCAUGUCUAUGAGUAUCUCAAGGGAGGGUCAGAGGAUGGACCAGGCUGUGCUCCAUGAUGCCAAGCAAUUGGACAAGAGGGAAGGGGCAGAAACUGAUGCACAGGAAGUUCCACCUGAAUAUGAGGGACUUAUUUCCUAAAAUUUUCACUGUACAAGAGACAAAAGUGAUGGCCCACUAUAAAGCUGAGGAUAAGAUAACAGCCAGUAUAAUUUUUAAUAGCUGCUGAUGAACUUAUUUAUGUGUACUAAUUUGUCAGACAGUGCGAAGUUACCACUAGGCUGUGGGUUGCAGCAUUUCAAUUAUAAGGAGCUUGUCAAAGUGACAUAAGGACACUGAUCAGAGUGACAAAUAAAUCUCCUUGUAUAAAUUUUUGGAAGUGAGAACGAUGAGUAAAGAAGUACAUUUUUCUUUUCAUUGUCUUAAGUUUCUUAAAUGCCUGCACUUAAUCAGAUGGAAUCUCCCUCUGGAGCUCUUCAAAGACAUCAGUGUCUUUAACUCAACUGUGUAAGAAAUUUAUGUGCUUCAUUUGACAGCCUGCUUUCUCUAUAGCAUGGAAACUGGAUAUGUUCCCUAACACCCAGAUCCAGAUAAUAUUCUGCUGAUGUCUUAACUCUGUGUGUUAAGGCAAGAUGUGCUGCCCACUCUCACUCCUUCUGGUCUUCCUCCUACAUCCCAGUUUCUCUGGAAGAAAAUUAUAAGAGCUGCAAACCUACUCCAGCAGCCUCCAUGGAUGAUCAGGAGCCAUAGAUAUUUAAAUAUCUGAGUGUCAGAGAAUUAAUCACCUGAACUACAGAGAUCAGAUUUCACUCCUCCCUGCCUAGUAAAACUGGCAAAAGCUUUUAACCUGAAGAAGCAAAGAGUCUUACACAUAACAUUCUGAACAAGCCAUUGGCUGUACCGGGGACAUGUCUUGCAAGUCACCUCUCUGUGUCUCUGUUUGUGGUUUUUUUUGCCAUCUUUUAUUUGGUAAACUGAAGUGUGUAUUUCUGCUACCUGCCUAUGCUAAAAGCUACAGCAUCAGGUGUGUUACUAUAAUAAUCUGCUGUGGUUUAUGCUUUUUCUUUUUUCUCUAAAUGACAAGAAUCGCCAUGAAAAAUAUAGAAACUAAGAAGCUGAAGGAGUUGGGCAGAAUUUAAAUGCUGAAUUAAGAUAAUCACAUGAUGCACAAGAACAGUCAUCCCUUAUUAAUGUAGUGUGUAGUUUUAUAUUUUUAAUUAUUAAUGUUAGUUAUGUACCUAAAGUGUUCAGAAUUUGAGCUACAUUUCAGAAGAAAUACAUAAAUAUUCAGAAGAAAUACAUAAAUACCAUGUGAGUGAUCAAAAUAACUUUCAGAACUUUAACUAUUCAUGGUAUUUGUACUUAUUGAUGAUAUCUGUAAACAGCUGAAGCCCUGUCUUGCUAGAAUUAAAAAAUAAAAAAGUCAA